GACGAACGCUGGCGGCGUACCUAAUACAUGCAAGUCGAGCGAACAGACGAGGAGCUUGCUCCUCUGACGUUAGCGGCGGACGGGUGAGUAACACGUGGAUAACCUACCUAUAAGACUGGGAUAACUUCGGGAAACCGGAGCUAAUACCGGAUAAUAUAUUGAACCGCAUGGUUCAAUAGUGAAAGACGGUUUUGCUGUCACUUAUAGAUGGAUCCGCGCCGCAUUAGCUAGUUGGUAAGGUAACGGCUUACCAAGGCGACGAUGCGUAGCCGACCUGAGAGGGUGAUCGGCCACACUGGAACUGAGACACGGUCCAGACUCCUACGGGAGGCAGCAGUAGGGAAUCUUCCGCAAUGGGCGAAAGCCUGACGGAGCAACGCCGCGUGAGUGAUGAAGGUCUUCGGAUCGUAAAACUCUGUUAUUAGGGAAGAACAAAUGUGUAAGUAACUAUGCACGUCUUGACGGUACCUAAUCAGAAAGCCACGGCUAACUACGUG
rnacentral:rRNA from 1 species